ensembl:lncRNA
CGGGCAGCGUUCUGCCCAGGAAGCCUCUCUCUCUGCCACGUUCUGGAUGACGCCCAGUGACAGACACACCGGGGGCCAUCCGUUCAGAGCAUAUAGAUUUUUCAGAAACAAAGCAUGCCCGCCAGUGUGGGCCCCCAGCCUCUCUUCAAGCACACAGUGGGCCUGCAGCCUAGGGGAGAGGCCCCAUAGCGACGCUGCCACCCCCACCUGUAAACAGCAGGUAUAUUGCUGGUUUGUUUUUCUUUUUGUCAAUUGUGGCAGGAGCCGCAAGCUGUCGGUAUCCUUUUCUGAAAGUAUUAUUAUUUUCCCCAGCUCAACCUUAUACCCCCAGGACUGGCUCCAGCGAGUGCAAGCAGAGUCUGGGGUGGUUCCCGUCAUCCCUGGGGAACACUCUGUUCCAGGGGACGUGCCCUGGGCUGGGCUCUGCAGCCAGGCCUCCUCUGACUGCCAUUUAGGACGCUUCCAGCCCUGCACUUUGCAGACAAUGCUGCAAGGGCAGUGCCAGGGCUCAGUGCCCCCAGCCUGGCAUUUUCUCAGCGGCGGCGGACAAUGAGGCAGGGAUCUGGGGGUCAGCGGGGUGGGCAGCUCCUGCUUUUUCAGAUAUGGACAAAUGUCUCCCGGAUUCCUCUGUAGCAGUUUCAACGAGCACAGCAGGGAGAGCGCGCCCGGUCUCCGCACACCCUGGGCCUUGUUUGGGGUCACACCGUGGCAUCUGUCACACGGUAAGGUGUCCCCGUCAAGAACGAACGUGGGCCUCUGUCCUCUGUGAGGAGACUCCACCGGCCUCCUUGGCCCAUCUCUCCGGCGGCUGGCUUCACCUGCUGACCUUGGGCGCUGUUCCUGGUUCUGUAGGGCAGUCUUUGCCAUUUACGGUCACUGCAAACCUUUCUCCCCAGUAUUAACAACAACGACAACAAAAAAAGGCUUUCCUUACCCGCGGCUCUCCCACCCAGCUGCGUCAGUGUGCGCCUGACCACGCGCGGCGGAAUCGCGGUCUGGACGAGCCCUUUUGAUGAAGUCAGCAGGCGGCUAUGAAACGGGACCCGGGACAAACGCCCUCUAUAGCCUCUCUCGUCUAAUAAAAGUAAUGGGCGAAACACAGUUCCUUUCCUCCGCUGGUUUUCUUGCCAGCGAGGAUCCUACCCGCUCUGGCCGGAUCCGAGCGACGCUCCGGGUCUCUGCAGCCUCUGGGCGCGCUCACACCCGCGUGCACGUGCCGAGCUGCGCUCCGGAGUGGAAAACCGGGAAAGCAAAGCGAGUAAUGGAGAGGCUGAGGACGGUCUGGGCGUCGGGGGGCGGGGG